AUGCUCCCUGUGCUCCCUCCAUUCCUCUCCCUGGUGCUCCCCGUGUUCCCUCCAACCUUUUUGAUCUUCCCUGUGCUCCCUCCCUCCAUCUCCUGGUUUCCCCUUUGUCCUCACACUCCCUCCAUCCUUCCUUAUCCUCUCUGUGUCCCUGCGUUCCCUCCCUCCUCUCCCUGCUCCUCCCCGCUGGCGCUGGGCAGGGAGGGCACUGCAGGGGACAGCGUGGGUGACACGGGGUCAGUGCCACGGUGUUCCCAUGGGAAUUGGCACCUGCCAUGGCCUAGAACGGGGCUUUCCUCUGCCCUGUUGGACAGCCAGGCAGGGUGGAACCAGCACACCCACCUGGGCCACAGCUGGAGCUGCUCCGGAGCAGCUGGGGCAGGAUUUGCUCCUGCAGUGCCACAGGAAUUGCCUCGUGCUCAGAGUGAAUCUUCCAGUGCCCAAAUCCCUCCAGGCUGUGCUCACACCCAGCACUUCCAGAGGGACCAGAGAACACAAGUCCCCAGAACAGAACCUUCGGGCUGUUUGGGGACACCUGGAACUGGGGACCUGGCUGGCACAGUUGGAGCUCUGGGAUCCUGCUCUGGGACCCUGCUCUGGGAUUCUGGGACCCUGCUCUGGGAUUCUGGGACCCUGCUCUGGGGCCCUGCUCUGGGGCCCUGCUCUGGGAUUCUGGGACCCUGCUCUGGGACCCUGCUCUGGGGCCCUGCUCUGGGACCCUGCUCUGGGACCCUGCUCUGGCACCCUGCUCUAGGAUCCUGCUCUGGGACCCUGCUCUGGGACCCUGCUCUGGGAUUCUGGGACCCUGCUCUGGUUCUCUGCUCUGGGAUCCUGCUCUGGGACCUUGCUCUAGGAUCCUGCUCCAGGAUUCUGCUCUGGGACUCUGCUGAAUUGCUGCCCUCCAACAGCAGCACCUUGUGGGUCUCUGAUUCAGUCAAAGAAAGAAACAGAGAGUUUCUAUCCAGGCAGAAGCCUGGGAAAGAGCUGGAAAAGAAUGUAAAUAAUUCUUUAUCUCUCUUGUUUUUCACAUUUUUUAUAGUUAAGUUCUGUCACUGUGUGUCAAGCACUCUGCACCAAUGCUGUGGGUUGUUUUCACUUCAGAACCAAUGGAGUUGGCCCUCACAGAGCUCUGUAUAA
rnacentral:lncRNA from 1 species